GUGCCAGCAGCCGCGGUAAUACGUAGGUGGUAAGCGUUAUCCGGAAUUAUUGGGCGUAAGCGCGCGUAGGCGGUUUUUUAAGUCUGAUGUGAAGCCCACGGCUCAACCGUGGAGGGUCAUUGGAAACUGGAAAACUUGAGUGUAGAAGAGGAAAGUGGAAUUCCAUGUGUAGCGGUGAAAUGCGCAGAGAUAUGGAGGAACACCAGUGGCGAAGGCGACUUUCGUGGUCUGUAACUGACGCUGAUGUGCGAAAGCGUGGGGAUCAAACAGGA
rnacentral:rRNA from 1 species